ACCUCUUUGCAAGCUAGAUCUAAUUUACCCACACCUACACGAAGUCGUUUUGCGGUGUGAGUUCGACGCAAACUUAAGGACGUGGUUGUGUGUGAACAGGGUCGACCGCGGUGAUGACGUGGAGAGGG